rnacentral:lncRNA from 1 species
AUAGGCUUUGAAAUCACGAGAAGUUCUCUGAUAAACUAGCUGACAAAUUAACACAGAGAGACACUCUUCAGAUUCUUUGCAGGCACCAGAGUUUUUUGACAGCUUUCUAGGCUGCAAAGGUAAAGGCUGAGGGCAGCCAGGCUUCCCCCACAAAGAGCCAGCCUCCCCAGGCACGCAGAAAGCAUGAACAUCUGGAUGUUCCCCUUGCUUUCGGCUCAGCUGGGAGGCUCACUGAGGCUGUGUGCCAGGAUGAGCUGGCACCUGAUGGGCACGACGAAGGGACAGACCAGCUCCAGGGGGCGUCCCAGACCCGCCUGGUCCCGGGCAGGCUCCAGGGAGAAGAGAGCCGAGCAGGCCACGCAGACGCACAGACCCCUCCUUCCACCCGGGAUGUUUGUCUCUGUUUCCACAGAGCCUCAGAUGACUUCUGGGGACCUUUGUUUCCUUCUCCAGCUCUGGGCCCUCUUCCUUUCCGGGCAUUCCCCUUCUUUCCUGUGACCCCAUCGUCCCUCACUAGCACCCAGAGACUGAGAAGCACAAGAAGCUCAACAUGGACAAAGAAGCCAGUUAACCCUUGCGGGCUUGAAGAUGGGUCUGCCCCGUCUCUAACUCCAGUGAGCCAUGUGACCUGGGGCCUGUUACCUAACCUCACCAUCCCUCACUUUCCUUACUUGCAAAAGAGAGGCAAAAACAUCUGCCUGACAGAGCAAGUCUAAGGAAUGAAUGCAUGAAAAGUGCACAGCAUCUUGUGGGCCUCACUUUACGCAUUUCGGCCAUUGCUUCUUGCCUCAUCUCCUUCAUGCCUGGGUAUAGGCAUUCUGUUUAGAAGCAACCCUUUGUUCUACCUUCUGUCCUUCCCACAGGCACCAGCUGCCCCAAGGAUAUUUGAAAGGAUCGUUCUCAUUACCACUCUUUCCUUUGAUUUUACCUUUAUUGAAUACCAGACUCAAGAGUUGGAAGGAUCCUUUAAGAUCCACUCAUCUAUUCAUCCAACAAAUAUUUACAAAAUGUCUACUGCAUGUCAAGUACUGUUCCAGGCUCUGGAAUAGAGAUGUGAACAAAAUACACAGACCCUGGCUCUUAUGGUGCUUAACCUGUGGGCAGGCAUUGAACAGUAGAACAAUACAUUACAUGUAGGACAACAAACUUGUCUCAGUUUGACCAAGACUUGCCUAGGUUUAGCAAUAAAGUCCUACAUCCUGCGACUGUAUCCUCA